rnacentral:rRNA from 1 species
GACGAACGCUGGCGGCGCGCCUAACACAUGCAAGUCGAACGAAGCAGAGAGCUUGCUCUCUGCUGAGUGGCGGACGGGUGAGUAACACGUGAGCAACCUGCCUAUCCGAGGGGGACAACAGUUGGAAACGACUGCUACUACCGCAUAACGUUGACGGAAGACAUCUUCUGUCACCCAAAGAUUUAUCGCUGAUAGAUGGGCUCGCGCCCGAUUAGAUAGUUGGUGAGGUAACGGCCCACCAAGGCGACGAUGUCUAGGGGAUCUGAGAGGAUGACCCCCCACACUGGUACUGAGACACGGACCAGACUCCUACGGGAGGCAGCAGUAAGGAAUAUUGGUCAAUGGGCGCAAGCCUGAACCAGCCAUGCCGCGUGCAGGAAGACGGCCCUAUGGGUUGUAAACUGCUUUUGUACCGGAAUAAACCUUGAUACGUGUAUCAAGCUGAAUGUACGGUAAGAAUAAGGAUCGGCUAACUCCGUGCCAGCCGCCGCUGUAA